rnacentral:rRNA from 1 species
AAUGAACGCUGGCGGCGUGCCUAACACAUGCAAGUCGCACGAGAAAGUCCCAGCUUGCUGGGGCUAGUAAAGUGGCGCACGGGUGAAUAACGCGUGGGUAAUCUACCUCCGAAUUGGGGAUAACAUUGCGAAAGCGGUGCUAAUACCGAAUGACAUCCCCGGGACUCCGGUCUUGGUGAUCAAAGGUGGCCUCUACAUGUAAGCUAUCGUUUGGAGAUGAGCCCGCGUACCAUUAGCUAGUUGGUAGGGUAAUGGCCUACCAAGGCUGCGAUGGUUAGCUGGUCUGAGAGGAUGAUCAGCCAGACUGGAACUGACACACGGUCCAGACUCCUACGGGAGGCAGCAGUGAGGAAUUUUGCGCAAUGGGGGAAACCCUGACGCAGCAACGCCGCGUGAGUGAUGAAGGCCUUCGGGUCGUAAAGCUCUGUCAAGUGGGAAGAACCUGCUUUGUGAUAAUACCACGAAGCACUGACGGUACCACUGAAGGAAGCACCGGCUAACUCCGUGCCAGCCGCCGCGGUAACAC